rnacentral:rRNA from 1 species
GAUUUCUGGUGUGGUGCGCCGAGCCCGCCACUCAACGUGGCGAGUGCUUGCGUGCGCCUACCAUCCUUCUGGAUAGCACGUUCUGCCCUUUACUGGGUCGGAGCGUGUCUUCUGGAUCUUUUACUUUGAAAAAAUUAGAGUGUUUAAAGCAGGCUUAUGCUGUGAAUACAUUAGCAUGGAAUAAUAAGAUAGGACUUUGGUUCUAUUUUGUUGGUUUCUAGGACUGAAGUAAUGAUUGAUAGGGACAGUUGGGGGUGCUAGUAUUUAACGGCCAGAGGUGAAAUUCUUGGAUUCGUUAAAGACUAACUUAUGCGAAAGCAUU